rnacentral:rRNA from 1 species
GACGAACCGUGCGAAUGUUGUUCGGAAUCACUGGGCUUAAAGGGAGCGUAGGCGGGCUAUCAAGUCUGGGGUGAAAUGCCGCGGCUCAACCGUGGAACUGCCUCAGAUACUGACGGCCUCGAGGGAGAUAGGGGCAUGCGGAACUGUAGGUGGAGCGGUGAAAUGCGUUGAUAUCUACAGGAACUCCGGUGGCGAAAGCGGCGUGCUGGAUCUCUUCUGACGCUGAGGCUCGAAAGCGUGGGGAGCAAACAGG